rnacentral:tRNA from 1 species
GGCGGGUUAGCUCAGGUGGUAGAGCAGCGGAAUCAUAAUCCGCGUGUCGGGGGUUCGAGUCCCUCACCCGCUACUA